GACGAACGCUGGCGGCGUGCUUAACACAUGCAAGUCGAACGGAAAGGCCCUGCUUUGGUGGGGGGCUCGAGUGGCGAACGGGUGAGUAACACGUGAGUAACCUGCCCUUGACUUUGGGAUAACUUCAGGAAACUGGGGCUAAUACCGGAUAGGAGCUCCUGCUGCAUGGUGGGGGUUGGAAAGUUUCGGCGGUUGGGGAUGGACUCGCGGCUUAUCAGCUUGUUGGUGGGGUAGUGGCUUACCAAGGCUUUGACGGGUAGCCGGCCUGAGAGGGUGACCGGCCACAUUGGGACUGAGAUACGGCCCAGACUCCUACGGGAGGCAGCAGUGGGGAAUAUUGCACAAUGGGCGGAAGCCUGAUGCAGCAACGCCGCGUGCGGGAUGACGGCCUUCGGGUUGUAAACCGCUUUCGCCUGUGACGAAGCGUGAGUGACGGUAAUGGGUAAAGAAGCACCGGCUAACUACGUG
rnacentral:rRNA from 1 species